CUUCUACAGCCAUCCUUUGGGAGCGCCCCUCUCUGCCUCCUGUUUACAAACAUUCAUGCAGAGCCCAAGGCCGGCUGCCCUGAUCUGCCCACAUCCUGGGGUGCUGUCCGGCCACCAGGUGUUGGCGGGGGGGGCUUCACCCACAGGCUGCCUCUCUACGUACCAGGGUCCCAGCGGCCCUAGAGCCGUACACUUAGAAGGGCCUGGAUGAUCCCUUACUCAGCGGCCCCCUGACUUUACAGAGAGCUGCCUGGACCCAGAGAGGGGAAGUUGGCCGCCACCAUGUCACGCAGUCCCUGCCGCCCAGCGGGUCACAGACCUGACUGCAGAAGGGGCUGAGGGAGCCCGCCCUGCCCGUCCUGUUUUCCCUGCAGCCGGAGCUGGUGUUACAAAUGAGGCCCCACGACUUCAUUGCAGAGAAUGCCGUCGGGCCCCGGCUCCGGAGGAUGCAGAAGGAGGAAGGCACCAGAGUAGCCCGGCCCUGAACGCACCACCCUCACCUCCUGCAACAGGUAGCGUCUCUGGGGUUCUUGGCACCAGAACAGUGUGUGGCAAAGGGUGAGCAUCGUUUCUUUGACCCUGGGUAAAUUUUGGUAAAUGCCCAAGAAGGGAGGAGGGCUGCUCCCUGGACACCAUGGAUUUCCAGAAACCUUUCCCUGGAUUGGCACACGGGUGUUCAGUGUCAUCUAGUAUGGGGUGGGGGGC
rnacentral:lncRNA from 1 species